GUGCUUGCACUGGUACUCGAGUGGCGAACGGGUGAGUAACACGUGGGUGAUCUGCCCUGCACUUCGGGAUAAGCCUGGGAAACUGGGUCUAAUACCGGAUAGGACCACAUUUUGGAUGGUGUGGUGGAAAGUUUUUCGGUGUGGGAUGAGCUCGCGGCCUAUCAGCUUGUUGGUGGGGUAAUGGCCUACCAAGGCGUCGACGGGUAGCCGGCCUGAGAGGGUGUACGGCCACAUUGGGACUGAGAUACGGCCCAGACUCCUACGGGAGGCAGCAGUGGGGAAUAUUGCACAAUGGGCGCAAGCCUGAUGCAGCGACGCCGCGUGGGGGAUGACGGCCUUCGGGUUGUAAACUCCUUUCGCUAGGGACGAAGCGCAAGUGACGGUACCUGGAGAAGAAGCACCGGCUAACUACGUGCCAGCAGCCGCGGUAAUACGUAGGGUGCGAGCGUUGUCCGGAAUUACUGGGCGUAAAGAGCUCGUAGGUGGUUUGUCGCGUCGUUUGUGUAAGCCCGCAGCUUAACUGCGGGACUGCAGGCGAUACGGGCAUAACUUGAGUGCUGUAGGGGAGACUGGAAUUCCUGGUGUAGCGGUGGAAUGCGCAGAUAUCAGGAGGAACACCGAUGGCGAAGGCAGGUCUCU
rnacentral:rRNA from 1 species